rnacentral:lncRNA from 10 species
UUGAAGUCCAAGACUGUCAGAGGUGUGGAUAAAGUUAAAAUAUUUAACCUUCUCAUGUAAACAUAAGAGCCUGAUUAAUUUUGAGACAUGAGCUUUGGACCCAGACCUGAGCUGGACUCUUGCUUCACUUCACUUCACCGAGCUGCGUGGGCUUGGAGGGAUGGUAUGUUCUGUAACCUCAUCUGCAAAACGGGGACGUAAAAGCAACUGUCUCAGAGUGACCGAAAGACCAAGUGAGCUCAUACAUGCAAAAUGUUGUCACUGUGUCUGCUCCAUAUUCAGAAAUAUUUAAU